UGGGGAAUAUUGGACAAUGGGCGCAAGCCUGAUCCAGCCAUGCCGCGUGAGUGAUGAAGGCCCUAGGGUUGUAAAGCUCUUUCACCGGUGAAGAUAAUGACGGUAACCGGAGAAGAAGCCCCGGCUAACUUCGUGCCAGCAGCCGCGGUAAUACGAAGGGGGCUAGCGUCGUUCGGAAUUACUGGGCGUAAAGCGCACGUAGGCGGAUCGAUCAGUUAGGGGUGAAAUCCCGGGGCUCAACCCCGGAACUGCCUCUAAUACUGUCGAUCUGGAGUUCGAGAGAGGUGAGUGGAAUUCCGAGUGUAGAGGUGAAAUUCGUAGAUAUUCGGAGGAACACCAGUGGCGAAGGCGGCUCACUGGCUCGAUACUGACGCUGAGGUGCGAAAGCGUGGGGAGCAAACA
rnacentral:rRNA from 1 species